rnacentral:rRNA from 1 species
GUGGGGAAUAUUGGACAAUGGGGGGAACCCUGAUCCAGCCAUGCCGCGUGUGUGAAGAAGGCCUUUUGGUUGUAAAGCACUUUAAGCGAGGAGGAGGCUACCGAGAUUAAUACUCUUGGAUAGUGGACGUUACUCGCAGAAUAAGCACCGGCUAACUCUGUGCCAGCAGCCGCGGUAAUACAGAGGGUGCAAGCGUUAAUCGGAUUUACUGGGCGUAAUGCGCGCGUAGGUGGCCAAUUAAGUCAAAUGUGAAAUCCCCGAGCUUAACUUGGGAAUUGCAUUCGAUACUGGUUGGCUAGAGUAUGGGAGAGGAUGGUAGAAUUCCAGGUGUAGCGGUGAAAUGCGUAGAGAUCUGGAGGAAUACCGAUGGCGAAGGCAGCCAUCUGGCCUAAUACUGACACUGAGGUGCGAAAGCAUGGGGAGCAAACAGGAUUAGAAACCCCUGUAGUCC